GCUAAGACUGGAUAGGAAGAAAUAAGGCAUCUUUUUUCUUUUAAAAGACCUAGUGAUAGGUAUACUUUAGGAGGGGCUUGCGCCAUAUUAGUUAGUUGGUAGGGUAAUGGCCUACCAAGACGAUGAUGUGUAGCUGGACUGAGAGGUUGAACAGCCACAUUGGGACUGAGACACGGCCCAAACUCCUACGGGAGGCAGCAGUAGGGAAUUUUCGGCAAUGGAGGAAACUCUGACCGAGCAACGCCGCGUGAACGACGAAGUACUUUGGUAUGUAAAGUUCUUUUAUCAAGGAAGAAAAGCAAGUGGUGAACCAUUUGUUUGCCGGUACUUGAUGAAUAAGCCCCGGCUAAUUAUGUGCCAGCAGCCGCGGUAAGACAUAAGGGGCAAGUGUUAUCCGGAAUUAUUGGGCGUAAAGGGUGCGUAGGCGGUCUAGUAAGUCAGUGGUGUAAUGGCAACGCUCAACGUUGUCCGGCUAUUGAAACUGCUAAACUUGAGUUAGAUAGAGGCGAGUGGAAUUCCAUGUGUAGCGGUAAAAUGCGUAAAUAUAUGGAGGAACACCAGAGGCGUAGGCGGCUCGCUGGGUCUUAACUGACGCUGAGGCACGAAAGCGUGGGGAGCAAACAGGAUUAGAUACCCUGGUAGUCCACGCCGUAAACGAUGAGUACUAAGUGUCGGGUUAAACCGGUACUGAAGUUAACACAUUAAGUACUCCGCCUGAGUAGUACGUACGCAAGUAUGAAACUUAAAGGAAUUGACGGGACUCCGCACAAGCGGUGGAUCAUGUUGUUUAAUUCGAAGAUACCCGAAAAACCUUACCAGGUCUUGACAUGUUUUUGCGAAACGGUAGUAAUAUCGUGGAGGUUAUCAGAAACACAGGUGGUGCAUGGUUGUCGUCAGCUCGUGUCGUGAGAUGUUAGGUUAAGUCCUAAAACGAGCGAAACCCUUAUCGUUAGUUGCCAGCACGUUAUGGUGGGGACUUUAACGAGACUGCCAGUGAUAAAUUGGAGGAAGGUGAGGAUCACGUCAAAUCAGCAUGCCCCUUAUGACCUGGGCUACAAACGUGAUACAAUGGCUGUUACAAAGGGUAGCUGAAACGCAAGUUCUUGGCCAAUCCCCAAAAACAGUCUCAGUCCGGAUUGAAGUCUGCAACUCGACUUCAUGAAGUUGGAAUCGCUAGUAAUCGCGAAUCAGCAUGUCGCGGCGAAUACGUUCGCGGGGUUUGUACACACCGCCCGUCAAAUCAC
rnacentral:rRNA from 1 species